UAAAACUAGCCUUCCAAGCUAACG
rnacentral:tRNA from 1 species